rnacentral:rRNA from 1 species
GAUGAACGCUGGCGGCGUGCUUAACACAUGCAAGUCGAACGGAAAGGCUCCUGCUUGGAGGGGUACUCGAGUGGCGAACGGGUGAGUAACACGUGGGUGAUCUGCCCUGCACUUUGGGAUAAGCCUGGGAAACUGGGGCUAAUACCGGAUAGGACGUUGGGUUGGAUGUCAUUGUGGAGAGUUUUUCGGUGUGGGGGUAGCUCGAGGCCUAUGAGCUGCUUGGUGGGGUAAUGGCAUACCAAGGCGUCGACGGGUAGCCGGCCUGGGAGGGUGGACGGCCACAUUGGGACUGAGAUACGGCCCAGACUCCUACGGGAGGCAGCAGUGGGGAAUAUUGCACAAUGGGCGCAAGCCUGAUGCAGCGACGCCGCGUGGGGGAUGACGGCCUUCGGGUUGUAAACUGCUUUCGCCUGGGACGAAGCGCGAGUGACGGUACCUGGUGAAGAAGCACCGGCUAACUACGUG